AAUUUUUAAAAAUUCAUUACAGUAAAAGGCACAUUGCCAUGAAUCUACCUCAAAAUCCUCCCCCUCUCUUCCAACACACUUAUCCCAUCAUUCUCACUUCUUUCUGCAGCAGUUCUGGAAAUCCUGUUUGGUGUCUUUUUGAGAUAUGAUCAAAAAUACAGUGAAUACUGCUGCCGAGUGCCAUCAAAAAGAAAGGUCCCAUGCCCAGGUGUCAAGAACUCUGAAGUCCACACCAAUGGACAUGAACGAGCAGGGAGAAGGCAGAGAGAAGGCACAUGCAGAACGAAUGGCAAAAUCAGAGCAGCCGCCACUUGGCAAACACUGCAGUGGAGACCGAGUCAGGUGGAAGGUGGCACUUCCCAGUGGGGCAUGCUGCAGACAAAGCCCUAACAUGGAGCCUUGGGGACAUCCAGGUCUACACUGCACUGGAGGAGUAUCCAGAUCUGGAGGGCACCAUCAUCCAGCUGACACUAUCAUCCGAGGACCCACAAAGAAAUUUCAAAGCACAAGACUUCUGAGUACAGAAGAAUAG
rnacentral:lncRNA from 1 species